rnacentral:misc_RNA from 1 species
GAUGAAGAACGUAGCGAAAUGCGAUAAGUAAUGUGAAUUGCAGAAUUCAGUGAAUCAUCGAAUCUUUGAACGCACAUUGCGCCCGUUAGCAUUCUAGCGGGCAUGCCUGUCCGAGCGUCAUUUCAACCCUCAGGGUCCCCGUUCCGGCGGGGAACCUGGUGUUGGGGAUCGGCCCGCCCCGUGCGGCGCCGUCCCCCAAAUUCAGUGGCGGUCUCGCUGCAGCCUCCCCUGCGUAGUAGUUACAACCUCGCAUCGGAGCUCAGCGCGGCCACGCCGUAAAACCCCCGACUUUCUGAACGUUGACCUCGAAUCAGGUAGGGAUACCCGCUGAACUUAAGCAUAUCAAUAAGCGAGGA